UACGUAGGGUGCAAGCGUUGUCCGGAAUUAUUGGGCGUAAAGGGCUCGUAGGCGGUCCAUCGCGUCGGGAGUGAAAAGCUGGGGCUUAACCCCAGUCCUGCUUCCGAUACGGGUGGACUAGAGGUAGGUAGGGGAGAACGGAAUUCCUGGUGUAGCGGUGAAAUGCGCAGAUAUCAGGAGGAACACCAAUAGCGAGGGCAGCUCGCUGGGACGGUACUGACGCUGAGGCGCGAAAGCGUGGGGAGCGAACAGG
rnacentral:rRNA from 1 species